UAUGGUCACAUCAUUUUGAAACACCAGUUCCCAUAUGACCACCAAAGUUAAGCAAUGUUGAGCCUGGUCAGUACCUAGAUAAGUGACCGCUAGGAAAUACCAAGUGCUGUAAG